UGGCCUAGCAACGGAUCCCUUGGAUGUA
rnacentral:piRNA from 1 species